GGAGGAAAAGAAACUAACAAGGAUUCCCCUAGUAACGGCGAGUGAAGCGGGAAGAGCUCAAAUUUGAAAUCUGGUAGCCUUCGGCUGCCCGAGUUGUAAUCUAGAGAAGUGUUUUCCGUGCCGGCCCAUGUACAAGUCCCUUGGAACAGGGCGUCAUAGAGGGUGAGAAUCCCGUCCUUGACAUGGACCCCCGGUGCUUUGUGAUACACUUUCAACGAGUCGAGUUGUUUGGGAAUGCAGCUCAAAAUGGGUGGUGAAUUCCAUCUAAAGCUAAAUAUUGGCGAGAGACCGAUAGCGAACAAGUACCGUGAGGGAAAGAUGAAAAGCACUUUGGAAAGAGAGUUAAACAGUACGUGAAAUUGUUGAAAGGGAAACGAUUGAAGUCAGUCAUGCUCUUUGGAUUCAGCCGUUCUGCGGUGUAUUUCCAUUGAGUGGGGUCAACAUCAGUUUUGAUCGCUGGAUAAAGGCACUAGGAAGGUAGCACUCUCGGGUGAACUUAUAGCCUAGCGUCAUAUACAGUGAUUGGGACUGAGGAACGCAGCAUGCCUUUAUGGCCGGGAUUCGUCCACGUACAUGCUUAGGAUGUUGACAUAAUGGCUUUAAACGACCCGUC
rnacentral:rRNA from 1 species